rnacentral:rRNA from 1 species
GAUGAACGCUGGCGGCAGGCCUAACACAUGCAAGUCGAACGGUGGCACAGAGAGCUUGCUCUCGGGUGACGAGUGGCGGACGGGUGAGUAAUGUCUGGGAAACUGCCCGAUGGAGGGGGAUAACUACUGGAAACGGUAGCUAAUACCGCAUAACGUCGCAAGACCAAAGUGGGGGACCUUCGGGCCUCACACCAUCGGAUGUGCCCAGAUGGGAUUAGCUAGUAGGUGGGGUAAUGGCUCACCUAGGCGACGAUCCCUAGCUGGUCUGAGAGGAUGACCAGCCACACUGGAACUGAGACACGGUCCAGACUCCUACGGGAGGCAGCAGUGGGGAAUAUUGCACAAUGGGCGCAAGCCUGAUGCAGCCAUGCCGCGUGUAUGAAGAAGGCCUUCGGGUUGUAAAGUACUUUCAGCGGGGAGGAAGGCGGUGAAGUUAAUAACUUCACCGAUUGACGUUACCCGCAGAAGAAGCACCGGCUAACUCCGUGCCAGCCGCCGCAGUAA